ensembl:lncRNA
UCCUCUCAGAGUAAAAGCUAAAAGCCACUUGUAGGUCACUUGACCUUCCUCUUUUCUUGUUUCUGUCAUCUGGCUCAUCUCUGUUGCAGGUGCCGUCUCAUCACAGCAUUAGAGUAAGGCCUUCAGCUUUGGACACUCUCAUUUUAUUUGAUUUAUUAGUUUCAUUUCUAAUUAUACUGUAGUAUAUUGUGUUAUAGUGUGUUAUCUUGCAUUGCAAUAUCUUAUUUAGUAAAUUUGUUUCUCCUCAUAUCAUAGCCACUGUUUUGUUUUUAGGCCCAUUUCUCUACCCUUUUCUCAUUUUCCCUUUUCCCUUUCCUGGGGAGUGGGUCCAUGGGUCCCGCUGCCCUGCUAAUCAUGGAACCAGGCCGAACCAGCCCAUAAACCACUGACAUAAAUAAACGCAACUUUUUAAUUGAAUUCUUGGCACAGGUCAAUGCUCUCAUGAAGAAACAGAUCUUUCUAAGUGGAAGGCUGGUUACUGCUUAGAUGGGAAAAGUUUCCAUUGUCCAUUUACAAGCAUCAAAUCUAUGAAAAAAAUAUGAUCAACUUUGCAGCGAGAAUCAGAUGGAUUACUGUCUGGAAAGAAUGGACAAAUUCUCCUUCCAUGAGUAAUCAAUCAUUGGCCUAUGCAUAGCAGAAGAUGCCUGGAGGAGAACUCUGGGCCAUACAGAACUCUGACCUCAGAGCUCCAGUACUGAUAAAGGCUUAAAUCUUCUGCAGUGUGUGAAAUGGUCUUCAGGCCAGAGCAGCUAGUCUAAGUUUGUUUCUGUACCUAUAAGGAGUAAUUUGGAGGGACUCACAAAAACAAAACAAACAUAGACAAGCAAAAAACAGAGACAGCAGCCAAAUACUGCAUCAUUCAUAUUUGGCAGCUAUGAUAUUGGUUUAUGUUUGUCUGUUGUGUCAAUAUUUAAUACAAGUCUUCUGCUGUGAGUCUGUCUUACGCUUUUAACAAUAGUGCCUGUUAUAUGCAUCCCCCUGAGGAACUGAGAUGUCUUAAACAGUGUGGAAACAAGACUAAAAAAGAAAAGAUCCUAGGUCUCCCAUUUGCUUUCUAAGAAAUCGUUUGAUGCCUCUGAGAAAGAUUCAAGAAAGCUUCAGAACAUAAAUAAUUUCCUGCACUACAGAAGACAAUGUGAUGUUAAGCAAUUGGCUGUAGGAAACUUGAAGUAUGGGAAUAUUUAUUGAAGCUCCUGGAUUUAAGGUGUUUUCAUUCUCACUGAAUCUAGUGCUUGCGGUUCCUCCCUGAAGACUGAUAUAGGAAAAUCACUCUUGUAAAGAAGUUCUUGACUGACAGUGCACAAUAAUUUAGUCCAAUGAUUAUAAGUUAUGGCCCAGAAAGUGCUGAAGAAGUGUAAUUGCUCCUACAUACCAAGAAGGAAUGACUGAAAAAAGUAACAUUUUAUUCAGUUCAGCAUUUUACUCAUGUUCAGUGAAAUACAGUAACUUCAGCUGGGUCAAGACUUCAUGUAACCACAUCAGCAUGACAAAUUAAAUUACAGGACUGAAAUCUAACUUGGAAAAAUGUUUUCUCUUGUUAGAAUGUUCUUUGUCCAGAACAAGUCUAAAUCUGUAAUGAACUGUCCAAAUUACGGGCUGAUACUUCAGUUAUUUGUUGAAUUCUACUUGCGUCGAAAAAUUACUGCUCAAAUACUAAAUGUAAGUAGUGAGAUUGUUUACUUCUGCAUAGUUUUGCUUAUCAAGCUGCCUAUUUCACUUUUCUUUAUUAUUUUCUUAUCAGAUCAGAAUUACAAGCAAAUUAUGCUUUUCAAACCCAGUGUUUUCUUCCUAUGUUUUUUAUAGAAAUUAAAAAAAAAAAGAUACUGUCAUCUUCGAUCAGACCUAGGUAGAAUAAUGCCUGUCUAAAGAAAAAGUCUUUAUUGAAUAAUCAAUCAAAAAAUUAAUAAAAAGUGACAUUUUGUUUAUGAGCAACAACAUUCCACUGAGUAAGCAAAUGACACCUCUCAUAAUCUCUCUGAAAAAGAAAUACACAUGAAUUAAGAGGAGCAAAUCUCAUGACCCUUCACUGCAUUUUCCUAUUUUGCUGGUACAUCUCCUCAGCCUAAAGCUCUCUCUUCUCCUCAGCCUAAAGCUCUCUCUUUUAUGUAAAAGCUUUAAACACUUGACUAUCGGAAUUUUAAUUUUAUUUAACUGACACUUACUGAAACAGUUUUUUCACUCUAAGAACAUUACAUGAAAAGUUGUUCAAGAAGGAGCUGUUCUCUGUUAAUAAACUCAGUUGCUAAAAUAUUGUUUGUUCCUGCCAUCAAAGAGAAAAUACAAUUGAAAGGAACCAAGACCUUAUGUGUAGAAGAAAAUGCAAUAGGAGGUACUGUGUUAGAACACAAGCUCACAAGUACAGAAUCAGAUUAGACAUUGUUAUAGCAAGGUCCCCUAUUGCCAUGAACACUGACAACCUAUGCAAUCUGUCUCGUGCUGCUUUACCAGCAGGGACUCAGUUCUGAUUCAGAAGGCCCAACUUCAUCACAGAGGGAAUUAAGCUGUUUCUCUUCAGUCCCUGGUCUGUCCCUUGAGCUUGGUAAGGAAGAUGUCACUAAGUACAUAGAGUGGUAGGACUGUGGACACUUGCUAUGAGAUGGAUUGAUACCUGUAGCACAUAUUCAUUUUGAGUGCACCUUGGCUGAACCAGUGACCUAGGACUGAAGUGCUUAGGUGACGAAAUAUUGUAUCAGAAGGUGUUACGGUUCAAAAUUACUACCAGUCAAAAUUAAGACAAAAUGAUGAGUGAGAAAAAAAGAGAGAGAGAGAGAGAGAGAGGAAAUAUAAAACAAAGUAUAUAUGAAAGGUCACCUACACAGUUGAUGCUGGUGCAAAUACAGAUGUAAAGAUGUAAAAGAAAUUGUCCCCCAAAGCUGUAGCAUGAACAUUUAAGAAAAUAGAAAUCUUACAUAUUGAACAAAUGCUCAUGUUCACAUCCACAUAUUCUGCCUGGCAGAUUUCUCGUGAUAGUGCAAGUAGCAAGUGAAGUCAUUACCAGUGGGAAUUAAUUUACAGUGUAUUGUGAAUGAGCAGAAAUUUAUCAAGCAAUCAUAAAUUAUAAAUUAUAUAAAUUAUAACCUUACAACUUAUAGUAUAAAAUAAAGCAUUAAUUGAAGACAAAUAAAAAUUAUAUACAUAUAUUACAUACCACUAUAACCUAUUUUUCUUAUUUACUACUUAUUUUCAAAUCCUGGAGAUUUUAGACAUGUCUACUCAAGCAAAAACAGGCAAAUCUCAUUUAGUCUUUGUUGUAUGUGAAUCCGAUUGUGUUCUUUGUGUGAGCUAAUAAACUGCAAAGUGGAAAGCUAUCCAAGUUCCAGUGUAAUGCCUCCCUAAUACGAUGGUGAGUUUAUAGCAUAAAAUUGUCUCACUUCAGAAGAAUCCACAUGUAUGCAGCCUAACGGACAGAUCUGAAUACUAUUGGUCCAAAAUUGGGAUAUCAUCUGCAGCAUUGCUAUUACGUUCUGUAUUUUCUGUUAUCC